GAUGAACGCUGGCGGCGUGCCUAAUACAUGCAAGUCGAGCGAACAGACGAGGAGCUUGCUCCUCUGACGUUAGCGGCGGACGGGUGAGUAACACGUGGAUAACCUACCUAUAAGACUGGGAUAACUUCGGGAAACCGGAGCUAAUACCGGAUAAUAUCUUGAACCGCAUGGUUCAAUAGUAAAAGACGGUUUUGCUGUCACUUAUAGAUGGAUCCGCGCUGCAUUAGCUAGUUGGUAAGGUAACGGCUUACCAAGGCAACGAUGCGUAGCCGACCUGAGAGGGUGAUCGGCCACACUGGAACUGGGACACGGUCCAGACUCCUACGGGAGGCAGCAGUAGGGAAUCUUCCGCAAUGGGCGAAAGCCUGACGGAGCAACGCCGCGUGAGUGAUGAAGGUCUUCGGAUCGUAAAACUCUGUUAUUAGGGAAGAACAAAUGUGUAAGUAACUGUGCACGUCUUGACGGUACCUAAUCAGAAAGCCACGGCUAACUACGUG
rnacentral:rRNA from 1 species